rnacentral:rRNA from 1 species
AGGACGAACGCUGGCGGCGUGCUUAACACAUGCAAGUCGAGCGGAAAGGCCCUUCGGGGUACUCGAGCGGCGAACGGGUGAGUAACACGUGAGUAACCUGCCCCUGACUCUGGGAUAAGCCCGGGAAACUGGGUCUAAUACCGGAUAUGACACCUCCUCGCAUGGGGUGGGUGUGGAAAGUUUUUCGGUUGGGGAUGGACUCGCGGCCUAUCAGCUUGUUGGUGGGGUAAUGGCCUACCAAGGCGACGACGGGUAGCCGGCCUGAGAGGGCGACCGGCCACACUGGGACUGAGACACGGCCCAGACUCCUACGGGAGGCAGCAGUGGGGAAUAUUGCGCAAUGGGCGAAAGCCUGACGCAGCGACGCCGCGUGGGGGAUGACGGCCUUCGGGUUGUAAACCUCUUUCAGCAGGGACGAAGUUGACGUGUACCUGCAGAAGAAGCGCCGGCUAACUACGUGCCAGCAGCCGCGGUAAUUCCAGCUCUCAAAGUGCAUAGAAUUAUUGCUGCGGUUAAAAAGCUCGUAGUUGGAUCUGUGCCAUAGGACGGGGUCCACCUUCGGGUGCGUACUCCGCUCCUAGGCUUUUUGCUGGUUUUCCCGUCGUAGCCUUCACUGGUUGCGGCGGGUGGCUGGCGAGUUUACUUUGAGAAAAUCAGAGUGCUCAAUACAGGCGUCUAGCUUGAAUGAUUGUGCAUGGAAUAAUAGAAAAGGAUUUCGGUCCUCUUUUAUUGGUUUUGUGGACUGAGAUAAUGGUUAACAGGGACAAACGGGGGCAUUCGUAUCGCUGCGUGAGAGGUGAAAUUCUUGGACCGUAGCGAGACGCCCUACUGCGAAAGCAUUUGCCAAGAAUGUCUUCAUUAAUCAAGAACGAAAGUCAGAGGUUCGAAGGCGAUCAGAUACCGCCCUAGUUCUGACCGUAAACGAUGCCAACUAGCGAUCCGCCGGUGGAUUUUUAGCCCUGGUGGGUAGCUUCCCGGAAACGAAAGUCUUCCGGUUCCGGGGGAAGUAUGGUUGCAAAGCUGAAACUUAAAGGAAUUGACGGAAGGGCACCACCAGGAGUGGAGCCUGCGGCUUAAUUUGACACAACACGGGGAAACUCACCCGGCCCGGACACCGUAAGGAUUGACAGAUUGAUAGCUCUUUCAUGAUUCGGUGGUUGGUGGUGCAUGGCCGUUCUUAGUUCGUGGAUCGAUUUGUCUGGUUUAUUCCGAUAACGAGCGAGACUCUAGCCUACUAAAUAGUAACGAGAUUGCCAUUGUCUUAGUUGCUUCUUAGAGGGAUUUUCGGUGUUUAGCCGCACGAGAUUGAGCAAUAACAGGUCUGUGAUGCCCUUAGAUGUCCGGGGCUGCACGCGCGCUACACUGGCGAAAUCAGCGUGCUGUAUCCAUUCUCGAAAGAGAUUGGUAAACCCAUGAAAAUUUGCCGUGCUUGGGAUCGGAAAUUGCAAUUAUUUUCCGUGAACGAGGAAUUCCAAGUAAGUGCGAGUCAUCAACUCGCUCUGAUUACGUCCCUGCCCUUUGUACACACCGCCCGUCGCUGCCCGGGACUGAGCCAUUUCGAGAAGAUCAGGGACCGGUGGGCUGUGGCCUCUUCGGAGGUUCGGUCCGUUGGAAACUGAUUUGAUCGCAGUGGCUUGAACCGGGCAAAAGUCGUAACAAGGUA